GGGUGAUUAGCUCAGUUGGUAGAGCAUUACGUUGACAUCGUAAAGGUCGGUGGUUCGAGUCCACUAUCACCCACCA
rnacentral:tRNA from 1 species